rnacentral:rRNA from 1 species
AACGAACGCUGGCGGCAGGCUUAACACAUGCAAGUCGAGCGCCCCGCAAGGGGAGCGGCAGACGGGUGAGUAACGCGUGGGAACGUACCCUUUGCUACGGAAUAGCUCCGGGAAACUGGAAUUAAUACCGUAUGUGCCCUACGGGGGAAAGAUUUAUCGGCAAAGGAUCGGCCCGCGUUGGAUUAGCUAGUUGGUGGGGUAAUGGCCUACCAAGGCGACGAUCCAUAGCUGGUCUGAGAGGAUGACCAGCCACAUUGGGACUGAGACACGGCCCAAACUCCUACGGGAGGCAGCAGUGGGGAAUAUUGGACAAUGGGCGCAAGCCUGAUCCAGCCAUGCCGCGUGAGUGAUGAAGGCCUUAGGGUUGUAAAGCUCUUUCGCCGGAGAAGAUAAUGACGGUAUCCGGAGAAGAAGCCCCGGCUAACUUCGUGCCAGCAGCCGCAGUAACAC